rnacentral:rRNA from 1 species
GGGCAACUCCUGUACCCAUCCCGAACACAGAAGAUAAGCC